CCCGGGCCUUGUACACACCGCCCGUCACACCACGAAAGCAGGUAACACCGAAGUCGGUGAGCUAACCCUUACGGGAGGCAGCCGCCGAAGGUGGGACUUGUGAUUGGGGUG
rnacentral:rRNA from 1 species